rnacentral:lncRNA from 1 species
GAGUAGCUGGGAUUACAGGCAUGCACCACCACACCUGCCUAAUUUUUGUAUUUUUAGUAGAGAUGGGGUUUUGCCAUGUUGCCCAGGCUGGUCUCGAACUCCUGACCUCAAUUGAUUCACCUACCAAAGCCUCCCAAAGUGCUAGGAUUACAAGUGUGAGCCACCAUGCCAGGUCUGAGAACAGUUUUAAUCUGGAUGUCACCCAUCGCUGAGCCAGAGGGAAAGACAGCUCAAAGGGUUUUGAAUUAGCAAUUGAAUUCUGGAAUUCUUGGCCCAGAAGUGAAAUGUAUGACUUCCACUCACAACCCAUUGGCUAAAGCUGGUCACAUGGCCCCAUCGAACUACAGAGAGCCAGGAAGAGAGAUCCUACCAUAUGCCAGAAGGCAGAGAGGCACAGAUAUUUAGUGAGCAUUGGAAAGACAUCUAGAAACCACCAAGGAAGAAUGACAUUUGAACCAAGAUUUGAAAAAUAUUUUAGUCUUCAAUAGAUGAAGUUAAGGGCCAGGGAGGAGGAUCUGCCAGGUAAUUAUAUAAGAGAAGUCACAGAGGCAUGAAAUGGCCUGGCUGGUAUGACCAAAAGCCAGGCUGAAUGAGGGGAUAGGGAUUGGCCUGGGAUCCCCAUCCCAGGGGAUGGGAAAGGAAGGAGGCAGGAAGGCUGAGCCUAACUGUGAAGGGCUUUGAAUCACAUAAUAAGGAUUUUGUACUCUACUAGAUUACUGGCAAUAGAGAGCUACCAAAGAGUUUUCAAACAGGAAAGCACCAUGAUCUGAUUUGUGUUUUAGGAAGAUAACUUUGGCAGCAGAAUGGGAAGAAGAUUGGAUGGGAGAGAGAUCAAAGGCUGGGAGAUUCUAAGAGGCUGUUGCAGUAUAGUCGAGGUUUGUCUGCCAGUGGAGUCCAUGUUUCCACCACUGUCCUACAUGGCCUCUCCUCACGAAUGGCUCCAACCUCCUGGGUGCGAUGGAUGAAGCCGGGUGCAGAGAUGGAAAGAGCAGCCCAACUUUCCUAACUGGAGGACUGAAGCGAGAGCUCUCACUGUCGGCCUAGUGUGGAUUGACUCCUUUCCACCACAUUCCCCAACCAAGGACAGUCUAUACCAAGCUCACAGCACUGAGGCGCUGGGGGAGGGCCAGCCCACACCUAGCCCCGUCAAUCUUGGUGGCAUGGACUCCCUCCUAAAGCUUUCUCAGGAGGCCCCAUUUCCUACUGCAGCGGGGCAAGAAUUCAGGAGGAGCCCACUCAAAGGGGAGACAGAGGCAGUGCUCCCUGUGAGCAGCUCUUCCUCCUCAGAGCUGUCAUGGACAAUUGGAGAGAAAAACCGGGACAUUCUCCCCAACCAGGAUAUUUUGUAUGCUUUGCACUUACUGCUGCGUUCCCUUCAUCUAAAAGCUCUAAAAUUUCAAAUAAAAAGGUACAAUGAA